rnacentral:tRNA from 1 species
GCUUCGAUGGCUCAGUUGGUAGAGCAACGCAUUCGUAAUGCGUGGGUCGCCGGUUCAAGUCCGGCUCGGAGCU